rnacentral:rRNA from 1 species
AUUGAACGCUGGCGGCAUGCCUUACACAUGCAAGUCGAACGGUAACGCGGGGCAACCUGGCGACGAGUGGCGAACGGGUGAGUAAUGUAUCGGAACGUGCCCAGUUGUGGGGGAUAACUGCUCGAAAGAGCAGCUAAUACCGCAUACGACCUGAGGGUGAAAGCGGGGGAUCGCAAGACCUCGCGCAAUUGGAGCGGCCGAUAUCAGAUUAGGUAGUUGGUGGGGUAAAGGCUCACCAAGCCGACGAUCGGUGGCUGGUCUGAGAGGACGACCAGCCACACUGGGACUGAGACACCGCCCAGAGUCCUACCGGAGGCAGCAGUGGGGAAUUUUGGACAAUGGACGCAAGUCUGAUCCCGCCAUGCCGCGUGCGGGAAGAAGGCCUUCGGGUUGUAAACCGCUUUUGUCAGGGAAGAAAAGGCUCCUUCUAAUAUAGGGGGCUCAUGACGGUACCUGAAGAAUAAGCACCGGCUAACUACGUGCCAGCAGCCGCGGUAA